GGGGGAAUGGGGGAGGAGUUGAAUAAUGUUUAUAAAUCUUUUCACAAAUUAACAUUUAGUAACUAUUGUAGGGGUUAGACGGUUUGCAAUAGGUGUCAGACGUUUGUGUUUUAAGGCAAGCGUUUACAAAAACGUUUUAAGCAAAGAAAGCAAUAAUACAGGUAUUUUAUACUAGUUCACUCAAUCCCGAGCUAUGUCUAGUUUCCCUCAAGAACUCUUGAAAAGUUCCACUAAUCUUAUGCAAGAUUACAACCGAGUACAAACCACUUAUGGUAUACAUCGAAUAUUUUAACCACUCCUGGUCGCUCUAGUCAAUCCUGACUAGUCCGAGUUUAACCACUCCUAGUAUCCAAGUAUUCAAACCACU
rnacentral:lncRNA from 1 species